AUUGAACGCUGGCGGCAGGCUUAACACAUGCAAGUCGAACGAGCGGCGGACGGGUGAGUAAUGUCUGGGAAACUGCCUGAUGGAGGGGGAUAACUACUGGAAACGGUAGCUAAUACCGCAUACCAUCAGAUGUGCCCAGAUGGGAUUAGCUAGUAGGUGGGGUAAAGGCUCACCUAGGCGACGAUCCCUAGCUGGUCUGAGAGGAUGACCGGCCAGACUGGAACUGAGACACGGUCCAGACUCCUACGGGAGGAAGCAGUGGGGAAUAUUGCACAAUGGGCGCAAGCCUGAGCAAGCAAUGCCGCGGGUGUGAAGAAGGCCUUCGGGUUGUAAAGCACUUUCAGCGAGGAGGCGUUACUCGAAGAAAAAGCACCGGCUAACUCCGUGCCAGCAGCCGCGGUAAUAC
rnacentral:rRNA from 1 species